AACAAGAGCCUUUGCAUAACACACGGAUAGGGUGGUAAAACACACUGAGUGUCAUAAUUUAGAAAGCACCACCAACUAUGAACUGCUUCCAUUUGGAUCUACAUGUCUGCUAGAGGUACUUUUUAUUUUAUUUUUUUUUAGCUACUAAAUCCAAGAAUAGGUGGGUUAAGAACAGACAUUUGAGUUACUAAAUCAAGAUCUUGAAAAUUAAAAAAAAAAAAAAAUCUACUGACACUGAUUUCACUGAGAUGUGGCUAGAAAGAAUGUUUCACUAAGAGCUGGGGAAAAAAGUUUUCUGUGCUGUAAAAUAAAACAACAAUUUGGGGCCAAGAAGAAUGCACACAACAAUGCUCAAGGACCCAGGUUCAAGCCUCAGUCCCACCUUCAGGGUGAGGGGACAGCUUCUGGAGUGGUUGAGAAGUGCUGCAGCCAUUAUAGCAAUGAUGCUGAUUAGCAAUUACUAUUUACUGAAUCCCUGCUAAAGCCAAGCCCAACAAAGAGAAGGCUUUACUUCUACUCCUUACAAUACAUCCAGAAAGCUCCAGGCAGGAGAUGAAAUGAGAAGGUAGCACCUGCAGAAGUGACCCUACUACCACCAUGUGCCAACAGACUGUCUGCACUUUCAUGGCUGUGUGAAGACACCCUGGACACAUGGAAGGCCAAAAGUCAGCUUUCUGACGCACAGGCAGGCCACAAGUAGAGUCUAGGAAGACAAUGAGUUGGUGCCAUCUCAAAACAUUACCUGCUUAUUUCACAGAUGACAAAAAUGAACUCCCUCAGGGACAAAAGUAGGUCUUGACUUUGGGCAAUGUUAUCACAAUAAAGAAGAGCUUUGGCCAGGAAAA